rnacentral:rRNA from 1 species
AUUGAACGCUGGCGGCAUGCUUUACACAUGCAAGUCGAACGGUAACAGGUUAAGCUGACGAGUGGCGAACGGGUGAGUAAUGCAUCGGAACGUGCCCGGUCGUGGGGGAUAACGCAGCGAAAGCUGCGCUAAUACCGCAUACGAUCUAAGGAUGAAAGCGGGGGACCGUAAGGCCUCGCGCGAUCGGAGCGGCCGAUGUCAGAUUAGGUAGUUGGUGGGGUAAAGGCUCACCAAGCCAACGAUCUGUAGCUGGUCUGAGAGGACGACCAGCCACACUGGGACUGAGACACGGCCCAGACUCCUACGGGAGGCAGCAGUGGGGAAUUUUGGACAAUGGGCGAAAGCCUGAUUCAGCAAUGCCGCGUGCAGGAAGAAGGCCUUCGGGUUGUAAACUGCUUUUGUACGGAGCGAAAAGGUCUCCUCUAAUACAGGGGGUUCAUGACGGUACCGUAAGAAUAAGCACCGGCUAACUACGUGCCAGCCGCCGCCGUAA